rnacentral:rRNA from 1 species
GUAUGGACGAGAGUCUGAACCAGCCAGUAGCGUGAAGGAUGACUGCCCUAUGGGUUGUAAACUUCUUUUAUACGGGAAUAAAGUGAGGCACGUGUGCCUUUUUGUAUGUACCGUAUGAAUAAGGAUCGGCUAACUCCGUGCCAGCAGCCGCGGUAAUACGGAGGAUCCNAGCGUUAUCCGGAUUUAUUGGGUUUAAAGGGAGCGUAGAUGGAUGUUUAAGUCAGUUGUGAAAGUUUGCGGCUCAACCGUAAAAUUGCAGUUGAUACUGGAUAUCUUGAGUGCAGUUGAGGCAGGCGGAAUUCGUGGUGUAGCGGUGAAAUGCUUAGAUAUCACGAAGAACUCCGAUUGCGAAGGCAGCUCACUAGACUGUUACUGACACUGAUGCUCGAAAGUGUGGGUAUCAAACAGGAUUAGAUACCCUGGUAGUCCAAGGGCGAAUUC